CAUCCCUACUUUAAAACAUCUGACUUAGUGGUGAGCUUGCACUAAAUGAGAAUAACACUACGAUCAAAAGGACAAGUUGUAUACCUUAAAUGUAUACCAUUUUUAUUCGUCAAUUAUACCUCAAUAAAGCUCAAAAAUGAAAACAUUUCGAUUGUUUCUCCUUAAAAUGAAACAUUGCUUAUUAUAGAGAUUUCAAAUCAUGCAGAAAAAAAAAACAAGAAAGUUUUUUAAACACACACAAAAAAAGAAUAACAUUACAGCAAUGCAGCAGGAAGUGUUUAUACUCUUGCCCCAGUGCUUAAGGUCAGGGGAGGGCCAACUCUUUGACAGCUGGGAUCAUGCAAGAGGCAGUACCUUCCUCUCUAAGUCAUAGCAGUGAAUAGGAAGACAAGAAAAACUGUCUUUCGAGCACCCUAUAUCCAAGUCAGAAUUCUGAAGGUUUUUUCCAGUAGAUCCAAUGCUAUAAUGGUUAGGUUCCCAGGCUAGCCUAAAAAAUUCCACUUACCCAAAAUAAUCCUUUUCAUUUUGCAGAAAUAAAUUUUGUGAGAUAGUUUAGAAACCUACCAUCAUUUAGUCCUUCAUUUUUUAAGAAUAAUUCUAAAUAUGUACUACCAAUUAACAAUAAAUGUAGGGAGUUAGGGACUAAAUGUAAGGUAAAUAAACACAGCCAAAUCUUUUCUCUACCUAUUCUCCCAGAAGCUCCAUUAAUACUAAUCUGUAUCUUUUCUCGUAGGUUCACCAUCAAAACUUAUCAAAUGAGUGUGAAGACACACACAUGGACACAAACACACACACAAACGCAUGUGCACGAAGCUUCAUUUCUGAAGUGAAUCUGUAGUUGAGUUUUUAAGGAUGUCCCUGGCACUCCUUUGAAGUUGGUUCUUGGUGUGAAACGAUGGACACAGGUGGGGUGAGGGACCCCAACUUUAAACAUGCCAGAAAGCACAAGCCACAGCAAGGAAGCACAUUCAGCGACACUUGUAUCAGAAUUAAGUGGGGUUGUCUAGAAGAAAUGAGAGACAGAGCAUCAAUCACAAUUAAAUUCUUCAGGAAGAGGGAUUCAUGGCUUGAAUAACAAAUCUUUAAGCUGCUGCUGACAGUGCACUUCAUAAAAGGACGACUAGAGAAAUAAAUAAAUAAAUAAAUAAGAAGUAAGUAAGUAAAAGAAGCUGAAGGAAAGACAAGGACCUCAACUGGAAUUCUAGGGAGGAAAUUAGAAAGCAGAAAAGGCUUACUAUUUCAGGUUGUUGAUGGUGUGUCAAUCCUGAGAAGAAAAACUUGGUUGAAAUCUUUGUGAGAAUGUUCCAAUCACAGUGCAAUCCUGAUAUGGAAAAAAAAAUCCCUGAAAAACAGGCUAAAGAAAGCAACAAAAACAAAAAAUCCAUGACAAUGAAUUUCUAAUUUAGAAGAUAAAAAGAACUGUCUUUUACCAAAAAUAGUGAAAGAUUGUAAGACACAUUCACAAAAUAUUUUUCUACAACAAGCAUAACACUAAGCCUCUUCAUGGUGGACAGAGACAUCAUCAAAUAAAUGUGUUUUUAUUUAUUUGGGGUUCUGAGUUUUGUUUUCGUUUUUUUAAUGAAGCUUAUG
rnacentral:lncRNA from 10 species